rnacentral:rRNA from 1 species
CCUACGGGUGGCAGCAGUGAGGAAUAUUGGUCAAUGGUCGGGAGACUGAACCAGCCAAGCCGCGUGAGGGAUGAAGGUACAGAGUAUCGUAAACCUCUUUUGUCAGGGAACAAAGGCGGGGACGUGUCCCCGGAUGAGUGUACCUGAAGAAAAAGCAUCGGCUAACUCCGUGCCAGCAGCCGCGGUAAUACGGAGGAUGCGAGCGUUAUCCGGAUUUACUGGGGGUAAAGGGUGCGCAGGCGGGCCGUUAAGUCAGCGGUCAAAGCCCGGGGCUCAACCCCGGGACGGCCUUUGGAACUGGCUGUCUCGAGUGGGGGAGGAGUAGGCGGAAUGCGCGGUGUAGCGGUGAAAUGCGUAGAUA